CCUUGUGAGACGUUGGCAGAGUGCGUGUCUUUUAUCGGGCUCGGCGCAGCGCCGCGCCACCGCCGCGACGUCCAUUUUUAAUGACGCGACGUGACAGGCGGGUCGGCGCACAGAAAAAUACAAGGCCCACGCCUUGUCCGCCCCGUCAAGGACGCUGCCAACGGCAGCCGAUGGCCCGAUACGCGGCGUUUUAUUUCACUCACCAUUCGCCGCUGCUCUCAUCGUUUAUUUUCUCAAUCGUUCAAUGUUUGUCGACAUUGGAGUAUCGUAAACGAGCAACAGCUCUUAUAUCAGUAACGGAAGAAUGACGCCACUGCAUCACAUUAGAUGCAGGACUUGACACCGCAGACUCUUCUACAUGUGUGGCGCCAUCUCAGAGGCAUGUGCUUACAGCUUCUCAGGAAAAAUCUCAUUGCUUCUCGGAUAACAUGGGCAAACAUAAAAACUUUGAAGAGUGCCAGUGACAUUGUAAUUGUACCAUAGACAGCAAAAUAUUUGAAUUGAACAGUAUCAACGGUGUCUUGAUAAGAUAUUACGUAACGCAAUGUAGUCGAAUCAAAUAAUGUGAUGUUCAGGGAAUUAGAAUAGAAAAUGAGACACUAGAAAUAAUCGGACGCCAAAGAAGUGAACAUUGCUGAAAUAAAUUACCAGCAGCAAGAAAACAUUUCCAAAAAAAAAAAGGUAAACGUCGAAUGUAAAUGUGUUGAGAAGGUUUGUAUUAAGGUAUUUUUCGGGAGUGUACCCUUGUAAGGAAUUCACACAUUAAGUGGCAAACAGCUCAUAAGUAAAGACGAUAGAAGCUGUUGAAAUAUUACGCUCCGGAAGGAUUCUCAAGAUUACACGAGAAAGUCGAACAGCUAACGAAGAAAUACUAAACAGAACUGGGGGAAAAUAAAUUUGUGGAGGGAGUUGGAGUCAUUCUGCAGAGGCGAAGUGGCUUGCACAAGAAAAUUAUCCUUAAGAGCUACAUCAAACCAAUCUUCGGACUGAGGCCCACAACUAUAACGAAGAUGUGGAACGCCAGACACGAUAAGGAACAAAGAUGAGGUAGAACACUGGUAGUUGCAGUGCGUUACACUGUGUAGAUGAGACUGAGGAAGAAAAUUCUAAAAUUGCAGUCCACAAAUGCAGAUACCGAGGUCAGCCUAGAACUACCCAACACAGGAUCAGCUUCGAACUGAAGAUAUCUGAAGAGAGAUCUUUUUUUUUGACGUUACUGAACACUUUAAGUGAAGAUAGGUACAGUCGACAAUCAUGCCUGUUCGUAUGUCUUGAUAAGCUCGUAAAGCUUCAGUUGUGUACAGCUCGCAGCACUGGGAACGCAACACGCACCGGAAAUUGUAACGAUUUUACUUAUAGAUCGUUUUGAUUUUCUGUAAUUGAGUAUAAUUACUGCAUAUUGUUUUGUAUAUACAUUGUAACACUUACUUUUAUCUGUUGGAAACGCUGAGAUGUUUCAGCCUCGAAUGUGCAAAUAAGAAUAGAGAUGAGUCGUUACGUUGUAGCUGUAUGGCAGCGUUUGAGGGUCUGGGUUUUCCCCAAAGUAAUUAUGUUUCGUGUUGUUACAUAUUAACCCUGUGGAUUACUAAUUGUUUCUUUUCAGUUUUGCUGUUACGAUGUGUUGUGUUAAUACCUUUCUUGUGAAAUGUUAUGCUGUUUUUCUAUUGUACAAUAAAAUGAAUGUUAAAUGUAAA